rnacentral:rRNA from 1 species
AACGGGGGGGGCAAGUGUUAUUCAUCCUAACUGGGCGUAAAGGGCAUUUAGGCCGCCGAUUGUGUUUUUUAUAAAAUCCUUUGGCUUAACCGAAGAAAAAUUUUUUAUACUAGUCGGCUAGAGUUUGAUUUAGUGAAAUGGUACAUAUAGUGUAGGGAUGAAAUCUGCAGAAAUUAUAAGGACCACCAUCUGGCGAUGGCAAUUUCAUGUAUAUGAACUGACGCUGAAGUGCAAAGGCUUGGGGAGCAAAGGAG